UACGUAGGGACCAAGCGUUGUUCGGAUUUACUGGGCGUAAAGGGCGCGUAGGCGGCAUGACAAGUCACUUGUGAAAUCCCUCGGCUUAACCGGGGAACUGCGUCUGAUACUGGAUGGCUAGAGGUUGGGAGAGGGAUGCGGAAUUCCAGGUGUAGCGGUGAAAUGCGUAGAUAUCUGGAGGAACACCGGUGGCGAAGGCGGCAUCCUGGACCAAUUCUGACGCUGAGGAGCGAAAGCCAGGGGAGCAAACGGG
rnacentral:rRNA from 1 species